CUGCUCUGUGUGACCCCAAGGCUUUGGGUCUCAACAAGGGCAACAAGGUGAUCAAGAACAUGAGCAAAAGCCCAGGCACUGCCGCUGUUUCAGGCACCUGACCAAACACACUAAGUUAGUGUGGGACAUGAUCUGAGAGGUGUGUUGCUUCGCCACGUAGAGUAUCACACCACGGAGUUGUUCAAGGUCUCAAAGGACAAACAGGCCCUCAAGUUCAUCAAGAAAAGGGUGAGGUCACACAUUCACACCAACAGGGAGAGGAGCUGAGUGCCGUCUUGGCCACCAUGAUGAAACCAGCUGCCAAGAA
rnacentral:lncRNA from 1 species